rnacentral:rRNA from 1 species
AGAAUCAACGCUGGCGGCGUGCCUCAGACAUGCAAGUCGAACGCGAAAGUCCCCUUCGGGGGACAAGUAGAGUGGCGCACGGGUGAGUAACACGUAGGUAAUCUACCUUCGGAUGGGGAAUAACAACCGGAAACGGUUGCUAAUACCGCAUAAUGCAGCGGCACCUAAUGGUGACAGUUGUUAAAGCGGGGGAUCGGAAGACCUCGCGUCUGAAGAGGAGCCUGCGGCGGAUUAGCUAGUUGGUAGGGUAACGGCCUACCAAGGCGACGAUCCGUA